GUAUAUAGCUCAGUUGGUAGAGCAAAGGACUGAAAAUCCUUGUGUCCCCGGUUCGAUUCCUGGUGGCAUACU
rnacentral:tRNA from 1 species